AUUUAUUUGUUAUACGAUUAAUUUUCUUUCUCCAAACCCACAGCUGUCUUCACAGGGUCAGCCAGGGGCAAAAGGAAAAAGUCAGGGGGACCAAGGCAUAUGCCUGAAAGAAAAAGGCCACAAAAGAAUUGUUCCUACCACACUCGCCUAGAGGCUUUCCCCAUCAGGAGUGUUGUAAAAGAAAGAGUGAGAAAGGGCAAAGAAGAAAUUUUGGUUGACUGGGAGCCCUGUCCAGUAUGAUUAAACAAGCCUUUUAACAAAUGUAAAGCACACAUCAUUACUAGAGGUGUCACGAUUCUCCAAAUCCUCGAUUCGAUUACAUUUUCGAUUCUAAGGUCACGGUUUGAUUCGAUUCUCGAAUUUUAUCAAUCGGCCAAUCAGGAUGCUCUCUGUCUUACAUGCGCUUCAUGAGGCACACACACAAGGUCUCUCGCUCUCUCCCUCUCUGCGGUGGACGCAAUACGGUUAAGAGCACAGUUUUUUUCUGUCUCUCUUGCUCGCUCUCUCUAGAUUCCGGGAGAUUUUAACUAAUUUGCGUGCAUUAGGGAGCCGCUAUCAAUA